rnacentral:rRNA from 1 species
ACGGGGUGCAGCAGGCGCGAAACCUUUACAAUGCACGCAAGUGUGAUAAGGGGAUCCUCAGUGCUCAUGCAUUGCAUGGGCUUUUGCCAAGYGUAAAUAKCUUGGCGAAUAAGUGGUGGGUAAGACUGGUGCCAGCCGCCGCGGUAACACCAGCGCCACGAGUGGCAACCACGUUUAUUGGGCCUAAAGCGUCCGUAGCCGGUUUGGUAAAUCUCUUGUGAAAUCGUCAGGCUUAACCUGACGGCGUGCUCGAGACACUGUUUAACUUGAGACCGGGAGGAGUCAGAGGUAUUCCUGAGGGAGCGGUAAAAUGUGAUAAUCUCAGGAGGAUCACCUAUGGCGAAGGCAUCUGACCAGAACGGAUCUGACGGUGAGGGACGAAGGCUAGGGGAGCGAUCCGGAUUAGAUACCCGAGUAGUCCUAGCCGUAAACGCUGCGAGCAAGAUGUUGCGCUUCUUAAGAGGAUGCGCAGUGUCGAAGAGAAGUCAUUAASCUCGCCGCCUGGGAAGUACGGUCGCAAGACUGAAACUUUAAGGAAUUGGCG